ensembl:lincRNA Mkln1os muskelin 1, intracellular mediator containing kelch motifs, opposite strand
CGCCGGGAACCCGACCGCGCAGGGCCGGCACUGGCUGCUUGGAGGCCGCUUCCUCGGGUUUCCCACGCUGUCCUUUCCUAGCUGACCCUCCCAGGGAGGCUUUCCUUUCCUGUGAGGCUGGCAGAGGAGUGGCACAGAGGACUUUUCAUACAAGCUCAGAGGGGGUCUAUAAAACCAUCAUGGAGCCGGAGGAUCAACAGUGUGAUGGCAGCACACAGCCCCAGUGAGCCAGUCUUCUUGUCCCCCAGAGGCCCGUAGCUUGACUGGCUGGUUAUAAAAGUCACAUGGAAAGCCCAGAAGAGGCAACACAACCAUGAAAAAGAUCGAAGGUGGAAGACAAGUAUUUCCCAGCUUCAAAACCUACAGUAAUCUUCCUACGGAGACCAGCAAAGAAUUGAUGGUAUAGGAAUAAACCACAUAUUACGGUCAACUCCAGACAAGGCACCAAAGGAAACUUGAUAGGAGAGAAAGAACUAUGUUCGUUGUUGUUUGGCUUUGGUGCUGGGGUUUGAACCUCAUGUGUGCUGAGUAAGCACCCUACUACUGAGCUACAUCCUUGUCCCUCGGUUUUCACAUUUUAUUUGGACAUGGGGCCUUACUAAAUUAUCGGUGCUGACUUUGAACUCAUUCUGUAGCUUGGGUUGGCCUUGAACUUGCAGUGCUCCAGCCUCAGCCUCCCAAUUAGCUGGGAUUACAGGACUUGUAGCAUAGGCCCAGCUAAAAAUACCCUAUUCAAAAAAUGGUGCUGGGCCAGCCAAGUAUCUAUGUGCAAAAGAGUGAAGUUGACUCUCUUCAGCACCGUACUCCUCCCACCUCAUCCAGGUGGAUACAGUGUAUGUGUAUGGAGAUGUCACAGUGAAACUCAUUGUUUUGUACUCUAAUUUAAAAAUUCAUAAAAUACCAAGUCAAGAUGAAUCACUGACCUAAAUGUAAUAAUUAAAACUACAUUUCUUUUUUUUUUCUA